AACGCACAUUGCGCCCUCUGGUAUUCCGGGGGGCAUGCCUGUUCGAGCGUCAUUACAACCCUCAAGCUCUGCUUGGUAUUGGGCAACACCUGGGUGUGCCUCAAAAUCAGUGGCGGUGCUGUCAGGCUCCAAGCGUAGUAACACUUCUCGCUAUGGAGUCCUGGUAGUGCUUGCCAGCAACCCCCACUUCUAAGGUUGACCUCGGAUCAGGUAGGGAUACCCGCUGAACUUAA
rnacentral:misc_RNA from 1 species